AGGAGAUGUAUCAUUAGCAUCUAAUAAAAGGUUGUGACUAGAUCAACUUUCUUACUUUCCCUGGUUGUCCCUGAUAAAGAGAGAGAAUGGAUGGCAGAGCCGCCCUUAAUCCUUUUGCUCCCAAGUGUAAGGCUUAACAACUGCUUGAGGUAUGGAUAUUUGGCAGGAGCCACUCUUUUAGGAGGAGCCACCAACUUGGACCAUGAGUAGGAAGACCAUGCCUGAGGGAAAACAAAGGAGGCUCAUUCCAGGAAGAUUUCAUCAAGCCCACACAAUCGCCAUGGUACUGUGCCACGAAAUUCCAGCCUCCUUCACCUCUCUGAACUCUGGUGUGUGUGUCUUUAAUUCGGUGAGAUCAAUGGGAUCUUCCUGUGUUUGCCCUCCCAUAGAAGGCACCAUGUUUUGUAAUGUGUCUUCAUGAAAAAAGCCGUGAUGAUAUCAGUCUCAGUCUCAGUCUCUGCUUUUUUCCCUUCUGUCUCUCUCUCCUUUUUUUUUUUUUUUUUUUUUUUAGACGGAGUUUCACUCUUGUUGCCCAGGCUGGAGUGCAAUGGUGCGAUCUCGGCUCACCACAAUCUCCGCCUCCUGGGUUCAAGCGAUUCUCAUGCCUCAGCCUUCCAAAUAGCUGGGAUUACAGGAGUGCGCCA
rnacentral:lncRNA from 1 species